rnacentral:rRNA from 1 species
UACGUAGGGGGCAAGCGUUGUCCGGAAUCAUUGGGCGUAAAGAGCGCGUAGGCGGCCCUGUAAGUCCGCUGUGAAAGUCAAGGGCUCAACCCUUGAAUGCCGGUGGAUACUGCAGGCUAGAGUCCGGAAGAGGCGAGUGGAAUCCUGGUGUAGCGGUGGAAUGCGCAGAUAUCGGGAAGAACACCCGUGGCGAAGGCGGCUCUCUGGGACGGUACUGACGCUGAGACGCGAAAGCGUGG